UGCAAGUCGAACGAGUUCUCGUUGAUGAUCGGUGCUUGCACCGAGAUUCAACAUGGAACGAGUGGCGGACGGGUGAGUAACACGUGGGUAACCUGCCCUUAAGUGGGGGAUAACAUUUGGAAACAGAUGCUAAUACCGCAUAGAUCCAAGAACCGCAUGGUUCUUGGCUGAAAGAUGGCGUAAGCUAUCGCUUUUGGAUGGACCCGCGGCGUAUUAGCUAGUUGGUGAGGUAAUGGCUCACCAAGGCGAUGAUACGUAGCCGAACUGAGAGGUUGAUCGGCCACAUUGGGACUGAGACACGGCCCAAACUCCUACGGGAGGCAGCAGUAGGGAAUCUUCCACAAUGGACGCAAGUCUGAUGGAGCAACGCCGCGUGAGUGAAGAAGGCUUUCGGGUCGUAAAACUCUGUUGUUGGAGAAGAAUGGUCGGCAGAGUAACUGUUGUCGGCGUGACGGUAUCCAACCAGAAAGCCACGGCUAACUACGUGCCAGCAGCCGCGGUAAUACGUAGGUGGCAAGCGUUAUCCGGAUUUAUUGGGCGUAAAGCGAGCGCAGGCGGUUUUUUAAGUCUGAUGUGAAAGCCCUCGGCUUAACCGAGGAAGCGCAUCGGAAACUGGGAAACUUGAGUGCACAAGAGGACAGUGGAACUCCAUGUGUAGCGGUGAAAUGCGUAGAUAUAUGGAAGAACACCAGUGGCGAAGGCGGCUGUCUGGUCUGUAACUGACGCUGAGGCUCGAAAGCAUGGGUAGCGAACAGGAUUAGAUACCCUGGUAGUCCAUGCCGUAAACGAUGAAUGCUAGGUGUUGGAGGGUUUCCGCCCUUCAGUGCCGCAGCUAACGCAUUAAGCAUUCCGCCUGGGGAGUACGACCGCAAGGUUGAAACUCAAAGGAAUUGACGGGGGCCCGCACAAGCGGUGGAGCAUGUGGUUUAAUUCGAAGCAACGCGAAGAACCUUACCAGGUCUUGACAUCUUUUGAUCACCUGAGAGAUCAGGUUUCCCCUUCGGGGGCAAAAUGACAGGUGGUGCAUGGUUGUCGUCAGCUCGUGUCGUGAGAUGUUGGGUUAAGUCCCGCAACGAGCGCAACCCUUAUGACUAGUUGCCAGCAUUUAGUUGGGCACUCUAGUAAGACUGCCGGUGACAAACCGGAGGAAGGUGGGGAUGACGUCAAAUCAUCAUGCCCCUUAUGACCUGGGCUACACACGUGCUACAAUGGAUGGUACAACGAGUUGCGAGACCGCGAGGUCAAGCUAAUCUCUUAAAGCCAUUCUCAGUUCGGACUGUAGGCUGCAACUCGCCUACACGAAGUCGGAAUCGCUAGUAAUCGCGGAUCAGCACGCCGCGGUGAAUACGUUCCCGGGCCUUGUACACACCGCCCGUCACACCAUGAGAGUUUGUAACACCCGAAGCCGGUGGCGUAACCCUUUUAGGGAGCGAGCCGU
rnacentral:rRNA from 1 species